rfam:Triticum aestivum genome assembly, contig: Triticum_aestivum_CS42_TGACv1_scaffold_329779_4BS
CAAUUACUACCUCCUUCCAAAAAUACUUGUCAGCAAAAUGGAUGUAUCUAGAUGUAUUUUAGUUAUAAAUACGUCCUUUUUAAUCCAAUUUUCCGACAAGUAUUUUCGCACGGAGGGAGUAUGAU